UUACUUAUUUUUUUAAGCAAACUAGUGCAAUUACUAAGCUUAAUUUGAGAAACCAGUUAAGCUAAUAAAAUUGAGGAAAGAUGGCUUCACGUUUAUUUUAAGAAAAUUCACUCAAUUAUGUGGAUUUGAUUGAGAUGUUUGCAUUUGAAUCUCAACAACGGCAGUGAUCAGACGACAUUUUGAAGGAGCAGAUCAACAGCGAGCAUGUUAAGAGUUUAAUGAAGAAAACUUUCGCAGUGUUUUCCCACUAAAGAGGAGCAGUUUAUUGAGGCAGAUUUUGAUAAAGAGAAUGGGUGCCAUACAUCAGACCUCACAUUAAAUCAGGGAUGAAAC